GCUCUUAUUUCAUCCAACCUUCACUAUUAAUUGUGUGAUCCUGGAUAAAUCAUGACUUCUCAGGACUUCAGUUCUUUCAUUUGCGAAAUGAAUAAGAGGAUGCCUUCCAGUUCUUUAAUUCUAACUUAAAAUUCUUGACCUCACUGAGCCAAAAAAAAGUACAGAAAUUCUCUACAAAAUAUCCAUAAUAGACUAGUUGGUCCAGUUUUUACAGCAAAAGCAAUUCAGCAUAAUUCUAAGAAGUUACAUUGGCAAGAAAAAAUUCUGGCACUCUUAUUUCUGAUUUGUCUAUUUUAUUUGGGUCUCCGUACAAUAAGGAAUAAAAUGUAACCUUUUUUUCAGUGGGAAAAGACACUUACUUUCUAUUUCAUUAAGUUUUAGAAGCUAAUCCAAAGAGAGGCGACGGAACUCCACCCACUUCAAAAUGUCAAUACUUUUAUAAUAUUUACACACUAGAAUUUAGAACAUCUGAAAAAUCAAAAUGCAAUUUGGAAUAGACUUUUAAUCUAAAAGUACCAUAAUAACAUUUAUUAGUUACAUAGUCAAUAAUAGUCAUUGAAUCCUAAAAAUAAUAUUUUUUCUAGUAAUUAAAAUCUGAAAAAUAUGCCUGCUAAAUUUCAACUUUUGAUGUCUCCUCUAACUUUCAGAAGAAAAUAACAUUCAGGAUUCUGUCUUCUUCACUGACGAAAGGGAAGACAAAAACUAAUACUCUACAUUGAAACUUUGUUAUUUAUCAUGAUCCAGUGGUACACUUAUUUAUAAAUAUAAAUAUAAGGGCCAAACAUUCAAAGAGAAUAGGACCCAAACUUUGUCACUUCAAAUCACAACGUUUGGACAAAAAAAAAAAAAGCAAACAUUCUGCAAACCCUGCUAUCAAUUUGAGUACUGAUAUUUAAAAGUCUUAUUUGUUCUUAUUCAAAGCACUUUUUUUUUGACAUUUGUUUUGCCUGCUGCUCUAAGAUCAGACCAGACAUUCAGUUAACUCUACCCUCCACUGUCCCCGAGUCCUGGUCUAGAUUCUCUGUAGUUCCAAUUUUUUCAGAGAACAAACCCCUCAUCUCGUGGAGUUGGGGAACAUUGCUGUCCAGCUGGAGUGAGGUGAAGACCUGGGAGUUCAGCUGGUCCUUUCACAGACUUUCAGCUGAACAUCUGUUUUUAGCACCAUGCCUCCCUUCCUCCUUCAACCUCCUGAUAUCACUGUCGUCUCCUCUGCAGGUGCUUUGGUUUUGCCCUUCUGGUACUAAGUUACUGUAUCAUAUGCUUUCUGUUUCAGAUUUUAUGGUUUAAGGUAACUGAUGAGAUCUACCUCUGACAAAAAGAGUUGGAAUUUUUGUUUCUAUUUCCUUUGUUUUAUGCUAAGAUUUUAAUAGAAGAAAGCAGGUGGUGGCCAGGCACAGUGGCUUAUGCCUGCAAUCCCAGCACUUUGGGAGGCCAAGGUGGGUGAAUCACGAGGUCAGGAGAUCGAGACCAUCCUGGCUAACAUGGUGAAACCCCG
rnacentral:lncRNA from 1 species